rnacentral:rRNA from 1 species
UACAGAGGGGGCGAGCGUUAAUCGGAAUUACUGGGCGUAAAGCGCGCGUAGGCGGCGACGUAAGUCGGGUGUGAAAGCCCCGGGCUCAACCUGGGAAUUGCAUUCGAGACUGCAUUGCUGGAGUACGGAAGAGGAGGGCGGAAUUGCCGGUGUAGCGGUGAAAUGCGUAGAUAUCGGGAGGAACACCAGGGGGGAAGGCGGCGCUCUGGUCCAGUACUGACGCUCAAGUGCGAAAGCGUGGGGAGCAAACAGG